AUGAUGGGAGGCGUCACAUCAAGCAGUACAACAACCUCCACCAUCUCCACCACCACCUCGCAUCUGGAGUCGAACCACCCACCGCCAGGAACUACCACCAACCAUCGAAGCCACCACGCCCAGCGGACCCAGGCCACCAGUGCAAAGACCACCAGUGGGCGAGAAGAGGCAAAGCACACUGGCCAAUACCACCGGUCUAGGCCCGCCCAACACCGCCGCCCUCCCCCUCCCCCCUCCCCCGAAGCUAAGGGCAGCCCCUCCACCUCCAUGGUGCCACGAGCAUCACCAAACUCCGCCAACUUCCGCCAGCAGAGUCGCAUAUCCAACCCACCACUCUCCACCUUCUUCUCAGUGCGGCAACCUCCUACCACCUCCAGCCACGACAAGCCGAGUCGCCGCCGCUGCAUAGGCUAG
rnacentral:rRNA from 1 species